rnacentral:rRNA from 1 species
CCUACGGGAGGCAGCAGUAGGGAAUAUUGCUCAAUGGGGGAAACCCUGAAGCAGCAACGCCGCGUGGAGGAUGAAGGUCUUCGGAUUGUAAACUCCUUUUGUUAGAGAAGAUAAUUACGGUAUCUAACGAAUAAGCACCGGCUAACUCCGUGCCAGCAGCCGCGGUCAUACGGAGGGUGCACGCGUUACUCGGAAUCUCUGGGGGGAAAGAGCGCGUAGGCGGGAUAGCAAGUCAGAUGUGAAAUCCUAUGGGUUAACCCUAGAACUGCAUUUGAAACUGUUAUUCUAGAGUAUGGGAGAGGUAGGUGGAAUUCUAGGUGUAGGGGUAAAAUCCGUAGAGAUCAAGAGGAAUACUCAUUGCGAAGGCGACCUGCUAGAACAUAACUGACGCUGAUGCGCGAAAGCGUGGGGAGCAAACAGGAUUAGAUACCCUUGUAGUC